GGAGUUUGGUAACCAGGGUCUUGUGGCCCAUCCUGCAGAGUGUCCCUGCCAGCCCAGCAUUGCUUUCAUUGGGCAGGCUGGCUGAGCUGUUGCAGAGUGAUUUAUGAUCAUGGGAGAGAGCUGCAAUGUCACAAGAUGAUACCAAGCCCUGAUGGCUACUCAUGUGUAAGAGUUCCCUGCUGCCCUGUGACUGCAUGCCCUUAUAAACAGUCUCUCUCCAUGUUUCUUAGAGGAUGAAAUCCAGGAUUCUUCACCUUACUGCUUGGGCACUUAAAGACCAGUGUAGGACCAGUUGUUCUUGUAAGAGAAACUGAAACAGUGAUAUUACUUGGCAUGCUGGCUAGUGACGAUUUGUCAUUGAAAGCUUUCUUCAUGUUUGGGGAGGUGUGAACACGGAGUGCAAGGAUUAGCUUUGCUCCACACAGUGAUCAAGACCUACAGUACCAAACUGGCCAAAGGCUUUAAGG